UUUAGAGAUUUUACAUGUUCCUAAAUCUGUUAAUUCUACAGAUAUUUUCUGUAAGGAUUUAACGCAUGCGCAAAAACAAUGCAGUGAUUCGACUAAGGCUGAGUACGAUUGAGUGCGAGAGGUUAAGGCGAAUUUAGUGUUUUUAUUAUUAUCAUAGUGUCGGCAAGAAAGUGUAUUUAUAUAUUUUUUGUUUAAAUUAUAAUACAUAUUAUAUUGAUUAAUAGUUUUUCAAUUUGGACAUAUUUGUUCAAAGUCAUUUAAAAGAAUGGAAUUGUCUGAUUUAAUUGAGACAUUUAAACGAUAAAACGAGAGAAAUUUCUUAAAUUAAGAAGUGAAAUUAAAGAAAUUUUUCCUACUGAAUUGCCCGAAGCCUGGUACAUGCCAUUAACACAAGGUUCUAAUGGAGAGAGCAUUAAUCCUCGAGGUAAAUUAUAUAAUAAAUAUAACGAAAAGAGAAGACUUUUAAACGAAAUAAAUUAUAUAAAAAAAAAUCAAAAGGGAAACAAAAUUUGGAAAGUGAGAUCUCUAUAGAAGUAUUAUCCAACGAUGACAUAUCAGUUGCUUUACACUUUCUAAAAAACAAUUUAGAGCCGGAAAAUAUUUUACUAAGUGCAUGGAAUGCAACUAGAGAAGUCCGUUUAAAUUUAAAAAAAUUAAGCAUUAAAGAGUAUUAUGAUACGUUUAAAUGCUUACAAGGAAUUUUGGCAUUCAACUGCUUCUGCAUGAUUUUGAUUCCAUUUAUGGAAUAAAUAGUGGAAAAUUCCUACUAAACUGGUCCA